AGGUUCACUUAAGCCCAGGAGGCUGCAAUGAGCGGAGACUGUGCCACUGCACUCUAGCCUGAUUGACAAAGUGAGACACUGUCUCAAAAAAAAGACUAUUUGUAAACCAUACGUCUGAAAAAGGAUCUGUAAUCAGAAUAUAUAAAGAACUCUUACAACUCAAUAAUAAAAAGACAACCCAUUUUAAAAGGGCAGAGGAUCUGAACAGAUAGUUCUUCAAAGAUACACAAAUGGCCAGCAUGGUAUUUCAACCACAUGAAAUAAAGCUCAACAUUAGCCAACAGGGAAAUUCAAAUCAAAAUCACAAUGAACUACUACUUCACACCCAGCAGGAUGGCUAUAAUCAAAGUGAUGAUGUGCCAGGCAUGGUGGCUCACACCUGUAAUCCUAGCACUUUGGGAGGCUGAGGCGGGCAGAUCACUUGAGGUGUGGAAUUCGAAACCAGCGUGGCAAACAUGGUAAACCCCAUCUCUACUAAAAAUACAAAAAAAUCUGGCCAGGUGCAGUGGCUCAUGUCUAUAAUCCCAGCACUUUGGGAGGCCAAGGCAGGCGGAUCACCUGAGGUCAGGAGUUCGAGACCAGCCCGGCCAACAUGGUGAAACCCCAUCUCUACUAAAAAUAAAAAAAUUAGCCAGGCGUGGUGACGCCAUGCCUGUAGUCCCAGCCACUCGGGAAGAUGACACAGGAAAAUCGUUUGAGCCUGGGAAGUGGAGGUUGCAGUGAGCCGGGAUGGUGCCACUUUACUCCAGCCUGGGCAACAGAGCAAGAUUCUGUCUCAAAAAUAAAAUAAAAUAAUAAGAAUACAAAAAAAUUAGGUAGGCAUGGUGCCACAUGCCUGUAAUCCCAGCUACGAGGGAGGUUGAGGUGGGGUCACUUAAACCCAGGAGACAGAGGUUGCAGUGAGCCAAGACCGUGCCAAAGCACUCCAGCCUGGGUAACAGAGCAAGACUCCUUCUCAAAAAA
rnacentral:lncRNA from 1 species